ACCUCAAGCUUUGCCUUCCCCCCCGCCCUCUACCUGUCUCUCACUCACUGUAGCGAAUUCCAAUAAUUUCUAAAGAUUUUUUAGGGUUUCUCAAUUCCUCUCCCAGAUCUCUCAUAGAGGGUUUGCUUUGCUCUCUAUCCUCCGAUCCGCCGCCGCCGAGCCUCAGAUCCUUAUUCCUUUGAUGAAUGGCUUCCGGGUCUCUGGUGGGCGGCGCCGCCGGCGGCGAAGGUUCCCGGGAGAAGCACCGGUGGACGGCGGAUAGCAAGGUCUACACCCGCAAGUCCCACAGCAAGAACCACCCCAAGCCCUCCAGCGGCGCGACCGGCUCUGACGCCCCGCGCCCGCCCCCGCCUGCCCCCUCCUCCAAGCAAACCCUCGCCACUACCACCGAUGACGUCCACUCCUCGCUCCAGCAGCCCCCUCUGCCGCCCCAUCACCGCCGCCCCCGGUCCGCCGCCUCGGACGACAACGCCUCCAGCCUCAACCACGGCCCGCCGCCGGACCCCUCCAAGAACCACUCCAGCCGCCGCUCCCCCAAUGGCCAGCACCGCGUCGUCACCAUCAGCCUCGCCGCUCGGCCUCGCCACGAAGUCCGGGUGCUCCGCCGGCGGCUCAUCGCGGAGCUCGAGCAGGUCCGCUCCCUGGUCAAGAGGUUCGAGGCCCGCGAAUCCCAGCCUUCCACCACCGCCGCCCCGGCCUCCCAGCUCUCUGUCAACGAAGUCAUCACACCUCUCUCUUCCAAGAGAGCUGCCGCGAAUUCGGAGGCAGCAUCCACCACGGCGGCCCCGCUCCGCCGCCAGCUUGGCGUCUCGGUGCCAGAAAAUAGCGUCGAUGAGCCGUUGGAGAAGGAGAAGCGGACGCCCAAGGCCAACCAGUUGUACCGGAACUCGGAUUUCGUCCUUGGAAAGGAGAAGUUCCCGGUGCCGGAGCUUCACGGUCACAAGAAAUCAAAGGCCAAUGGAAGCAAGAAGCAUUCGAUGGGAGAGAUGGACUGCGGCGCUCAAAUGGUCGACAAGAUGCUCGACGCCCACGCCUUAAAUAGCUGCAGCGCUCUGCUCCAGAAGCUCAUGAAGCACAAGUAUGCGUGGGUGUUCAACACGCCAGUUGACGUGAAGGGCCUCGGCCUAAAUGAUUACUACAACAUCAUCAAGCACCCAAUGGACCUCGGCACCGUGAAGUCCCGGCUAUCCAAGAACUGGUACAAGACCCCCUCAGAGUUCGCUGAGGACGUCAGACUUACCUUCCGCAAUGCUGUGACCUAUAAUCCCAAGGGUCAGGAUGCCCACUUCAUGGCUGAGCAGCUCUCCCAAAUCUUCGAGCAACGGUGGCCUGCUAUUGAGGCUGAGUACACCUAUCUCUCACAUCCCCCGCCUCCGACCAUAACCACCACCAAGAAGGCUCAGCAGGUUGACAUGCGAAGGACCCUCGAGAUGUUGGACUCCACUGUCCACACCAUGCUGGUCGAUUUGAAGCCCCAACAGGUGAAUUAUACCCGACAUUUAGGUCGGCCUCCAGCCUUGAAGAAGCCAAAGGCUAAGGACCCAAACAAGAGGGAUAUGACAUUUGAGGAGAAGCAGCGGCUGAGCCGUCGUCUGCAGAGCCUGCCAUCAGAGAAGCUAGACAAUAUCGUGCAGAUUAUCAAGAAGAGAAACUCCUCUCUAAGCCAGCAUGAUGAUGAAAUUGAGGUGGAUAUCGACAGUGUGGAUGCAGAGACUCUUUGGGAGCUUGAUAGAUUUGUGACCAAUUAUAAAAAGAGUCUUAGUAAGAACAAGAGGAAGGCUGAGCUUGCCAAUCUAGCCAGAGCACAGGCCAAGCACCAAACCCAGGAAAGAAUGCAGGAAAAGAUUCCUGAUGCUGGUGUUCUGGAAGUUCCCAAGGAAAGCAAGACAGUGGAUGGAGAGAAUGCUGCAUCUAUGUCUCUGGUUGGAGGAGAAAAAAAAGGGGCCAGUAGAUCAAAUAGCUCAACCAGCUCUAGUAGUGACUCAGGAUCCUCCUCCGGUGAUUCUGAUAGUGAAAGUUCCUCAGGAUAUGGAUCCGAUGCAGCGCAUUCACCUAGGACAUGAAUGGUUAAAAGCAGGAGAUUAUUUUAGUAGUUUUGUCAGAUUGGGAUCAGUAAUUUCAGAUCCAGAGGUAUCAGGAAACUUGCAAGUGUACAAUUUCUCCCAUAUUGAGGUGCAAUAGGAAGGCUUACUAGACAGCGAAGGCAGUGAUGUUCCAUGCGAAGCUGACAAUCUGCAUUGCCAAUGAGUUUUGAGAUCAUUUUGCCCCAAAAGGAAGUGACCUGUAAUAUUGGACAUCAACUUUCCCUGUGAUACUGCUCUUUUAUUUUCUUGUAUAUGCUUGUUUGAUAGUUGCAGGAAAACUCUGACUGUAACCUGGUGGUCAUUGGGGAGGGGAGGAUGCUGGUCUUGUCAAUAUCAUGCAAAUGUGUAAUGUAUGAUUUGUAAUCUAUAGAUUCUGGAAGGUAGGUUUCUUUUCCAGUCUCUGAUCCUUUCUCAUCAAUGUGGCUGCUUGACAGCAUGGAAAUACCAGCAGCCUCUUAAUUCAGUCAGACUAACAGAAUAUGUUGCAAGUAAAAUUGGGGGUCUGAAGUAUCUUCAUCAGGUUGUAAGUUAACGCAUCCCAUAAGGUGGAGAUGGAGUUUUGCUUGAAUAUCCAGAAUGAACCACCGCAGUGAUUGGGUAUCCUUUUGGGUGUAUGUUUUCUUCUUUUCAGAUGCUGCUGGUUGGUAGGUUCACUUGAUGUUAGCUUAUUAACUCCAAAGAUCAAAUUCUUCCACAAUUUUCUUCUGAUAAGACAGCGGUUGUUCUCUACAACCUCAGGUUGAUUCAAGUGAAAAAUUGCUGGCAGGAGUUGAGAAAGGGAGAGGAGAAUAGAAAUGAAAAAUGAAAAGAGAACCUUGUAUGUGAACCAAGUUUUAGGGACAUUUUUUUUACUAAUCUGGUUUCCUGUAUCAUACUUCGCAAAACAAAGAAUUUAUGUGGUUGAAUCUAAAUUUUGGAAUGACUGCAAUGAAAGAUAAUUUGAG